rnacentral:rRNA from 1 species
GAUGAACGCUGGCGGCGUGCCUAAUACAUGCAAGUCGAGCGAACGGACGAGAAGCUUGCUUCUCUGAUGUUAGCGGCGGACGGGUGAGUAACACGUGGAUAACCUACCUAUAAGACUGGGAUAACUUCGGGAAACCGGAGCUAAUACCGGAUAAUAUUUUGAACCGCAUGGUUCAAAAGUGAAAGACGGUCUUGCUGUCACUUAUAGAUGGAUCCGCGCUGCAUUAGCUAGUUGGUAAGGUAACGGCUUACCAAGGCAACGAUGCAUAGCCGACCUGAGAGGGUGAUCGGCCACACUAGAACUGAGACACGGUCCAGACUCCUACGGGAGGCAGCAGUAGGGAAUCUUCCGCAAUGGGCGAAAGCCUGACGGAGCAACGCCGCGUGAGUGAUGAAGGUCUUCGGAUCGUAAAACUCUGUUAUUAGGGAAGAACAUAUGUGUAAGUAACUGUGCACAUCUUGACGGUACCUAAUCAGAAAGCCACGGCUAACUACGUGCCAGCAGCCGCGGUAAUACGUAGGUGGCAAGCGUUAUCCGGAAUUAUUGGGCGUAAAGCGCGCGUAGGCGGUUUUUUAGUCUGAUGUGAAAGCCCACGGCUCAACCGUGGAGGGUCAUUGGAAACUGGAAAACUUGAGUGCAGAAGAGGAAAGUGGAAUUCCAUGUGUAGCGGUGAAAUGCGCAGAGAUAUGGAGGAACACCAGUGGCGAAGGCGACUUUCUGGUCUGUAACUGACGCUGAUGUGCGAAAGCGUGGGGAUCAAACAGGAUUAGAUACCCUGGUAGUCCACGCCGUAAACGAUGAGUGCUAAGUGUUAGGGGGUUUCCGCCCCUUAGUGCUGCAGCUAACGCAUUAAGCACUCCGCCUGGGGAGUACGACCGCAAGGUUGAAACUCAAAGGAAUUGACGGGGACCCGCACAAGCGGUGGAGCAUGUGGUUUAAUUCGAAGCAACGCGAAGAACCUUACCAAAUCUUGACAUCCUUUGACAACUCUAGAGAUAGAGCCUUCCCCUUCGGGGGACAAAGUGACAGGUGGUGCAUGGUUGUCGUCAGCUCGUGUCGUGAGAUGUUGGGUUAAGUCCCGCAACGAGCGCAACCCUUAAGCUUAGUUGCCAUCAUUAAGUUGGGCACUCUAAGUUGACUGCCGGUGACAAACCGGAGGAAGGUGGGGAUGACGUCAAAUCAUCAUGCCCCUUAUGAUUUGGGCUACACACGUGCUACAAUGGACAAUACAAAGGGCAGCGAAACCGCGAGGUCAAGCAAAUCCCAUAAAGUUGUUCUCAGUUCGGAUUGUAGUCUGCAACUCGACUACAUGAAGCUGGAAUCGCUAGUAAUCGUAGAUCAGCAUGCUACGGUGAAUACGUUCCCGGGUCU